rnacentral:rRNA from 1 species
UACAGAGGUCCCGAGCGUUGUUCGGAUUCACUGGGCGUAAAGGGUGUGUAGGAGGCCAGGUAAGUCUGAUGUGAAAUCUCACUGCUCAACGGUGAAACGGCAUUGGAUACUGCUUGGCUAGAGGUCUUGAGGGGGAAUCGGAAUUCUUGGUGUAGCAGUGAAAUGCGCAGAUAUCAGGAGGAACACCGGUGGCGAAGGCGGUUCUCUGGGCAUGUCCUGACGCUGAGGAGCGAAAGUGUGGGGAGCGAACAGG